GUUAAUGUAGCUUAAACAGCAAAGCAAGGCACUGAAAA
rnacentral:tRNA from 1 species